CCUACGGGAGGCAGCAGUAGGAAAUCUUCCACAAUGGACGAAAGUCUGAUGGAGCAACGCCGCGUGAGUGAUGAAGGGUUUCGGCUCGUAAAGCUCUGUUGGUAGUGAAGAAAGAUAGAGGUAGUAACUGGCCUUUAUUUGACGGUAAUUACUUAGAAAGUCACGGCUAACUACGUGCCAGCAGCCGCGGUAAUACGUAGGUGGCAAGCGUUGUCCGGAUUUAUUGGGCGUAAAGCGAGUGCAGGCGGUUCAAUAAGUCUGAUGUGAAAGCCUUCGGCUCAACCGGAGAAUUGCAUCAGAUACUGUUGGACUUGAGUGCAGAAGAGGAGAGUGGAACUCCAUGUGUAGCGGUGGAAUGCGUAGAUAUAUGGAAGAACACCAGUGGCGAAGGCGGCUCUCUGGUCUGCAACUGACGCUGAGGCUCGAAAGCAUGGGUAGCGAACAGGAUUAGAUACCCCAGUAGUC
rnacentral:rRNA from 1 species